rnacentral:rRNA from 1 species
UACGUAGGGGGCCAGCGUUGCUCGGAAUUACUGGGCGUAAAGGGUUCGUAGGUGGUGCGGCAAGUUGGGAGUGAAAUCUCUGGGCUUAACUCAGAGGCUGCUUUCAAAACUGCCGCGCUCGAGUGCGAGAGAGGUCAGUGGAAUUGCAGGUGUAGCGGUGAAAUGCGUAGAUAUCUGCAGGAACACCGGCGGUGUAGACGGCUUUCUGGACCGUAGCUGACGCUGAGACACGAAAGCGUGGGUAGCAAACAGG